CGCCGUGGCGCAGCUGGUCACGCCAUCGCUCUGGGAAAGCAGUGCGACCCGGGUUCGAUUCCC
rnacentral:tRNA from 1 species